UACGUAGGGUGCGAGCGUUAAUCGGAAUUACUGGGCGUAAAGCGUGCGCAGGCGGUUCGUUGUGUCGGUGGUGAAAGCCCCGGGCUUAACCUGGGAAUGGCCAUGGAAACUGGCGAACUGGAGUGUGGCAGAGGGGGGUGGAAUUCCGCGUGUAGCAGUGAAAUGCGUAGAGAUGCGGAGGAACACCGAUGGCGAAGGCAGCCCCCUGGGCUAGCACUGACGCUCAGGCAUGAAAGCGUGGGGAGCAAACAGG
rnacentral:rRNA from 1 species